ensembl:snoRNA
ACUUCUGUGAUGAGUUAACAGCAUGACUUUCGUUCUUCUGAGUCUCCUGAAGCCAAUCAUCUGUUCUGAGAAGA